rnacentral:rRNA from 1 species
GAUGAACGCUAGCGGCAGGCUUAAUACAUGCAAGUCGAGGGGUAGCAAGAUUGUAGCAAUACAAUUGUUGACGACCGGCAAACGGGUGCGGAACACGUACACAACCUUCCUACAAGUGGGGAAUAGCCCAGAGAAAUUUGGAUUAAUACCCCGUAACAUAGAGAUGCGGCAUCACAUUGCUAUUAUAGCUUCGUCGCUUGUUGAUGGGUGUGCGGCUGAUUAGAUAGUGGGCGGGGUAACGGCCCACCAAGCCUACGAUCAGUAGCUGAUGUGAGAGCAUGAUCAGCCACACGGGCACUGAGACACGGGCCCGACUCCUACGGGAGGCAGCAGUAAGGAAUAUUGGACAAUGGACGCAAGUCUGAUCCAGCCAUGCCGCGUGAAGGAUUAAGGUCCUCUGGAUUGUAAACUUCUUUUAUAAGGGACGAAAAAAGGUCUUUCUAGAUCGUCUGACGGUACCUUAUGAAUAAGCACCGGCUAACUCCGUGCCAGCAGCCGCCGUAACAC